AAUAGAUACCCCGGUAGUCCACGCCGUAAACGAUGGAUGCUAGCUAUUGGGGGGAAUCGACCCCCUCCGAAGCGAAGCUAACGCGUUAAGCAUCCCGCCUGAGUAGUACGAGCGCAAGCUUAAAACUCAAAGGAAUUGACGGGGACCCGCACAAGCGGUGGAGCGUGUGGUUUAAUUCGAUGGUAAACGAAGAACCUUACCAAGGUUUGACAUCCCGGUAGCCGUUCUCCGAAAGGAGAAUUUCAUUUAGUUGGACCGGUGACAGGUGAUGCAUGGCCGUCGUCAGCUCGUGUCGUGAGAUGUUGGGUUAAGUCCCGCAACGAGCGCAACCCUUAUGAUUUAGUUGGAUUUUUCUAAACAGACUGCCCUGGUAACAGGGAGGGAGGAGGGGAUGAUGUCAGGUCAGUAUUUCCCUUACACCUUGGGCGACACACGCGCUACAAUGGCCGGUACAAUGGGCAGCUAAGCCGCGAGGUGGAGCAAAUCCCAUCAAAGCCGGUCCCAGUUCGGAUUGCAGGCUGAAACCCGCCUGCAUGAAGCCGGAAUCGCUAGUAACCG
rnacentral:rRNA from 1 species